rnacentral:rRNA from 1 species
AUACGUAGGGGGCGAGCGUUGUCCGGAAUGAUUGGGCGUAAAGGGCGCGUAGGCGGCCCGGUAAGUCUGGAGUGAAAGUCCUGUUUUUAAGAUGGGAAUUGCUUUGGAUACUGUCGGGCUUGAGUGCAGGAGAGGUAAGUGGAAUUCCCAGUGUAGCGGUGAAAUGCGUAGAGAUUGGGAGGAACACCAGUGGCGAAGGCGACUGACUUGACUGUAACUGACGCUGAGGCGCGAAAGUGUGGGGAGCAAACAGGAUUAGAUACCCUGGUAGUCCACACUGUAAACGAUGAAUGCUAGGUGUAGGGGGUAUCGACCCCUUCUGUGCCGCAGUCAACACAAUAAGCAUUCCGCCUGGGGAGUACGGCCGCAAGGUUGAAACUCAAAUGAAUUGACGGGG